GAUGAACGCUGGCGGCGUGCCUAAUACAUGCAAGUCGAGCGAACGGACGAGAAGCUUGCUUCUCUGAUGUUAGCGGCGGACGGGUGAGUAACACGUGGAUAACCUACCUAUAAGACUGGGAUAACUUCGGGAAACCGGAGCUAAUACCGGAUAAUAUUUUGAACCGCAUGGUUCAAAAGUGAAAGACGGUCUUGCUGUCACUUAUAGAUGGAUCCGCGCUGCAUUAGCUAGUUGGUAAGGUAACGGCUUACCAAGGCAACGAUGCAUAGCCGACCUGAGAGGGUGAUCGGCCACACUGGAACUGAGACACGGUCCAGACUCCUACGGGAGGCAACAGUAGGGAAUCUUCCGCGAUGGGCGGAAGCCUGACGGAGCAGCGCCGCGUGGGUGAUGAAGGUCUUCGGAUCGUAAAACUCUGUUAUUAGGGAAGAACAUAUGUGUAAGUAACUGCGCACAUCUUGACGGUGCCUAAUCAGAAAGCCACGGCUAACUACGUG
rnacentral:rRNA from 1 species